rnacentral:rRNA from 1 species
UAGGGAAUCUUCGGCAAUGGACGAAAGUCUGACCGAGCAACGCCGCGUGAGUGAAGAAGGUUUUCGGAUCGUAAAACUCUGUUGUUAGAGAAGAACAAGGACGUUAGUAACUGAACGUCCCCUGACGGUAUCUAACCAGAAAGCCACGGCUAACUACGUGCCAGCAGCCGCGGUAAUACGUAGGUGGCAAGCGUUGUCCGGAUUUAUUGGGCGUAAAGCGAGCGCAGGCGGUUUCUUAAGUCUGAUGUGAAAGCCCCCGGCUCAACCGGGGAGGGUCAUUGGAAAAUGGGGGACUUGAGUGCAGAAGAGGAGAGUGGAAUUCCAUGUGUAGCGGUGAAAUGCGUAGAUAUAUGGAGGAACACCAGUGGCGAAGGCGGCUCUCUGGUCUGUAACUGACGCUGAGGCUCGAAAGCGUGGGGAGCAAACAGG